UACGUAGGGUGCGAGCGUUAAUCGGAAUUACUGGGCGUAAAGCGUGCGCAGGCGGUUGUGCAAGACAGAUGUGAAAUCCCCGGGCUUAACCUGGGAACUGCAUUUGUGACUGCACGGCUGGAGCGCGGCAGAGGGGGAUGGAAUUCCGCGUGUAGCAGUGAAAUGCGUAGAUAUGCGGAGGAACACCGAUGGCGAAGGCAAUCCCCUGGGCCUGCACUGACGCUCAUGCACGAAAGCGUGGGGAGCAAACAGG
rnacentral:rRNA from 1 species